GGUCCAGACUUUGAUUAUGGCUCAGGAUGAACGCUGGCGGCGUGCCUAAUACAUGCAAGUCGAACGCGAGCACUUGUGCUCGAGUGGCGAACGGGUGAGUAAUACAUAAGUAACCUGCCCUAGACAGGGGGAUAACUAUUGGAAACGAUAGCUAAGACCGCAUAGGUACGGACACUGCAUGGUGACCGUUAUUAAAAGUGCCUCAAAGCCACUGGUAUGAAGGAAUGGACUUAUGGCGCAUUAGCUGGUUGGCGGGGUAACGGCCCCACCAAGGCGACGAUGCGUAAGCCGACCUGAAGAGGGUGACCGGCCCACACUGGGACUGAAGACACGGCCCAGACUCCUACGGGGAGGCAGCAGUAGGGAAUUUUCGGCAAUGGGGGGAAACCCUGACCGAGCAACGCCGCGUGAAGGGAAGAAGGUUUUCGGAUUGUAAACUUCUGUUAUAAAGGAAGAACGGCGGCUACAGGGAAAUGGUAGCCGAGUGACGGUACUUUAUUAAGAAAGCCACGGCUAACUACGUGCCAGCAGCCGCGGUAAAUACGUAGGUGGCAAGCGUUAUCCGGAAUUAUUGGGCGUAAAGAGGGAGCAGGCGGCAGCAAGGGUCUGUGGUGAAAGCCUGAAGCUUAACUUCAGUAAGCCAUAGAAACCCAGGCAGCUAGAGUUGCAGGAGAGGAUCGUGGAAUUCCAUGUGUAGCGGUGAAAUGCGUUAGAUAUAUGGAGGAACACCAGUUGGCGAAGGCGACGUAUCUGGCCAUGCAACUGACGCUCAGUCCUCGGAAAGCGUGGGGAGCAAAUAGGAUAUAGAUACCCUAGUAGUCCACGCUCGUAUAACGAUGAAGUUUACUACAGUGUUGGAUGUUCAAGAGUUUCUAGUGCUUGCAGUUAGACCGCACAUUAGAGAUAUCUCCGCCCUUGAGUAGUACGUUCGCAAGAAUGCAACUCAAAGGAAUUGACGGAAGGGCGAAUUCG
rnacentral:rRNA from 1 species